CCUACGGGGGGCAGCAGUAGGGAAUAUUGCUCAAUGGGGGAAACCCUGAAGCAGCAACGCCGCGUGGAGGAUGAAGGUUUUCGGAUUGUAAACUCCUUUUGUCAGGGAACAAAGGCGGGGACGUGUCCCCGGAUGAGUGUACCUGAAGAAAAAGCAUCGGCUAACUCCGUGCCAGCAGCCGCGGUAAUACGGAGGAUGCGAGCGUUAUCCGGUUUUAUUGGGGUAAAAGGGUGCGCAGGCGGUCUGUUAAGUCAGCGGUCAAAGCCCGGGGCUCAACCCCGGCCCGCCGUUGAAACUGGCAGUCUCGAGUUGGAGAGAAGUAUGCGGAAUGCGCGGUGUAGCGGUGAAAUGCAUAGAUAUCGCGCAGAACUCCGAUUGCGAAGGCAGCAUGCCGGCUCCACACUGACGCUGAGGCACGAAAGCGUGGGUAUCGAACAGGAUUAGAUACCCGAGUAGUC
rnacentral:rRNA from 1 species